CUCCCACGGUCAUCCUAUGAGUUCUCCCUGCAAGUUGCUUUCUCUCGUGUUCAGGUUUGUUGUUUAGGUUUUAGUUUUCCCAGUGUAGUUUAUUUCUAAGUUCAGUUUUUCACCUCGCUCACCUUUUGUUUGUUAUCACUCAUGCUCUGUGUCAAUAAAGGCCUCUCACUCCACUGCAAAUCCGCAUCUUGGGUCCUUUGUUAAAUUCUACACGGCUUGCCCUGCUAGCUGUGACAGCACGAACCAGCCAGCAUGGACCCUGCAGCAUUCUAUCUGUCCGAUGAGCUCCAAGAUGACAUCGUGUACACAGUUGAGAUUCUUCUCAACCUGUGGCUGGACACCCCCAGUGGAGCUUCGUCGUGCAGUGGAAAAACGCCUACAGCAGCUCUUCUCUGGCCUUCCGUGGCUAUUAGGAGGCCCCCCCCCUCCGAUCAUACAGGACUUCAUCCGGAACACACCACACCUUCUCCCAGCCACUAUUGCCUCGCUGCCCGACCCGCCGGAGGAUAUUCUGUCUGGUCUGUCGGUCCAGCCUCCAAAAAGAAAGUGGCACUCACGAUGCGGACGCCCCUCGCCACAGUCAGACCCCAGGAUUUCAGAGCAGCCGGCUGUGGUGAGUGGGAAGGACAAUUUUUAUGUUUUGGACUGUGGGAUUGUUUAUUCUGGAGCUAUGUUUUGUGCAGCAAGGGGAGAUCCUGUCUCCUCUAUAACUGAAAUUACUAGAGCUGCACCUCCUGCUCAGCUGCCUUUAGUUCAGUCUCCUUCUCAGCAACCACUAGCUCAGACUCCUGUGUCACCUGCUCACUCGCUCUCAGCUCAUUCCCCAGUGCCACCUGCUCAGCUGCCACUAGCUCAGUCUUCAGCAUCCCCGCAACAGCACUGCUCCAGCCCCAACAGCACUGGCAUUAACAUCUAACUUGAAUGAUCCAAAUCAGUGCGGCUAACGCAGGAGUGUGGCACAGGAGAGAUGUUGCACUUUCAGUGCAAGGUGCUGCUCAGCCAGAGCAUUGGCCUGACUCCAGUCCACACUUCAUGGGCUUGUGCAUGAGUAACCACACCGGCUGGGCAUAGCUUCGAGGUCACAGAAACAAGUUUCAUGGUGUAGGCACCUGUCAGUCACGACUCACGCUGUCCUCGGUGCACGCCUGAUGUUCUUUUCAGGGUUUAACCUUCAGUGUCCUUUAAAGCACGAAUUUAACGCUGUAUGUUAAGCCUGUUCUGAAGGAAAAAGGGGGUCAAACCCAGUAGUAGCAAGUGUACCUAAUAAAGUGGCCACUGCACUGUAUGCACUGUAUAUAAAGACAUCACUCACAGAAUGAUAAGAGCCAGUAGGUGGCAGCA